GAUGAACGCUGACCGAAUGCUUAACACAUGCCAGUCAGCUGUGGCGGACGGGUGAGUAACGCGUAAAGAACUUGCCUCACAGAUAGGGACAACAUUUGGAAACGAAUGCUAAUACCUGAUACUGUGAGAGAGCUUUGCGUCCCAUUAGCUAGUUGGAGAGGUAACUGCUCACCAAGGCGAUGAUGGGUAGCCGGCCUGAGAGGGUGAUCGGCCACAAGGGGACUGAGACAUGGCCCUUACUCCUACGGGAGGCAGCAGUGGGGAAUAUUGAACAAGGGACCAAAGUCUGAUCCAGCAAUUCUGUGUGCACGAUGAAGUUUUCGGAAUGUAAAGUGCUUUCAGUUGGGAAGCGGUACCAACAGAAGAAGUGACGGCUAAAUACGUGCCAGCAGCCGCGGUAAUUC
rnacentral:rRNA from 1 species